GCCGCGUCCGGCGGACGUGUCUCCGUGCUUGGUGUCACCCUGACCCGGUGGCUCUCCCCACCCUAACAUCCCUGAGAUGCCUCACCUCCUCCUCAGAUCUGUUACAGUCACUUCUCAGCGUCAGAACCAGUAUUCCUGAGAUCAGCACCCGGGGCAUCUCGACCUUGGCGUUACACCCUGGCCAUCCUCCGCUCCACCAGGCCAGCUCCUGGAGAGACCUGCCUAGCUCCUUUUCCUCUGGCCUCUCCUGUCUAAUGAAGCCUGACGGACAAACAAUUCUACUCAGAGCACCUGUAGACGGGCAUCACUCUCCACCUGCUCCUUGCCCUCACAGUGCUGGCAGCCUCCUGACACAGCAAGCGCCCUGCCAGAGACCUACAGCGCAUGUAAAAUACAAACCGGCAUUGCCAGGCAAAAAUUCACCGAGACCUUGAACGACAAACAGUUG
rnacentral:lncRNA from 1 species